CCCAGGGUGGGAAUGGAAAGAAUGGUGUGCUUAGAGGCCUUGGCACUGCCAAGGGAUUAACUACUCAGCACCAGACAGUCCGGGUGCUAAAACCUAAAAGCCCAAGUGAUGAGAGAUAUUAAGAAGGAAGUAGCUGGGGGAGGGGAAGGACCCAAGCCCAAUCCUGACUCUUCCGAGCUGUGAAUCCACGACUACAAUUGCAUCGUGGAGCCUCCGCCACUGACGGGAGUGGGCGGGGGGAGACUAAAGCUGGUAUCUGUUCCCCAUCUCCGCCCCCGGACGGAUGCUGCUGCGUGGUUACCCGAAGCUAGAUGACGGCUCAUCAGCGGAUGGAUGUAGGGCUGCCUCGUGUGCCUGCCCUGAUGUCAGCCAAAAAGCAGAAGAGGAGUGAGCAAUGAGUCCAUGCGCAGGAAUUUGCCUUUGCUUUCUUUCUGCCAAAACCAGCAGAUCGGCGGUUCCCAUAGGACCUCAUGCUCCUGGGCCACAGUGGGCCUCCCUCCAGAAUUGUGGUGGUUGGGCUGGUAGGGGGCAGAUGGUGUUUCUGCUUUGGAAUUAAGUCCCUUUUUUUUUUUUUUAGAAAAGCUAAUGGCUUCCUUAUGGGCUGCCACCCAAAUUCUUGCUAAAUUUUGCUCAGCUUUUAUGGCUUUCUUGUGUCUUCUCAGCCAGCUCUCUCAGUCAUGAAUAAAUAAGCCGAGGU